rnacentral:rRNA from 1 species
GGCGGCGUGCUUAACACAUGCAAGUCGAGCGGAAAGGCCCUUCGGGGGUACUCGAGCGGCGAACGGGUGAGUAACACGUGAGUAACCUGCCCCUGACUCUGGGAUAAGCCUGGGAAACCGGGUCUAAUACCGGAUACGACCAUUUCUCGCAUGGGAUGGUGGUGGAAAGUUUUUUCGGUUGGGGAUGGGCUCGCGGCCUAUCAGCUUGUUGGUGGGGUGAUGGCCUACCAAGGCGACGACGGGUAGCCGGCCUGAGAGGGCGACCGGCCACACUGGGACUGAGACACGGCCCAGACUCCUACGGGAGGCAGCAGUGGGGAAUAUUGCGCAAUGGGCGGAAGCCUGACGCAGCGACGCCGCGUGGGGGAUGACGGCCUUCGGGUUGUAAACCUCUUUCAGCAGGGACGAAGUUGACGUGUACCUGUAGAAGAAGCGCCGGCUAACUACGUGCCAGCAGCCGCGGUAAUACGUAGGGCGCGAGCGUUGUCCGGAAUUAUUGGGCGUAAAGAGCUCGUAGGUGGCUUGUCGCGUCUGCCGUGAAAGCCCGUGGCUUAACUACGGGUCUGCGGUGGAUACGGGCAGGCUAGAGGCUGGUAGGGGCAAGCGGAAUUCCUGGUGUAGCGGUGAAAUGCGCAGAUAUCAGGAGGAACACCGGUGGCGAAGGCGGCUUGCUGGGCCAGUUCUGACGCUGAGGAGCGAAAGCGUGGGGAGCGAACAGGAUUAGAUACCCCUGGUAGUCCACGCUGUAAACGUUGGGCGCUAGGUGUGGGGGUCUUCCACGACUUCUGUGCCGUAGCUAACGCAUUAAGCGCCCCGCCUGGGGAGUACGGCCGC